rnacentral:rRNA from 1 species
UACAGAGGGUGCGAGCGUUGUCCGGAAUCACUGGGCGUAAAGGGCGCGUAGGCGGCUUGAUAAGCGUGCGGUGAAAGCCCGGGGCUCAACCCCGGGUCGGCCGUGCGAACUGUCGAGCUGGAGCACUGUAGAGGCAGGUGGAAUUCCGGGUGUAGCGGUGGAAUGCGUAGAGAUCCGGAAGAACACCGGUGGCGAAGGCGGCCUGCUGGGCAGUGGCUGACGCUGAGGCGCGACA